rnacentral:lncRNA from 1 species
AAGUAUCCACAGUAACAUGACGUAAAUGGUGGUCACGAAACUGCAGAAAAAGGGGUCUCUUGUGGAUGUUUCGUCCAGUCUACGUAGAAAAACUGGCUUUGUUUGUCGCUUUUUAUAUUACCCCUAAUCUGUGGAACCUGUAUUGAGCGGUCAACCUAGAUGAAGCGGCCAUUCCCCGUGGAUGACAGCUAAAUACAGAUUAAAGUGUAGUCUCUUUUCCAAGCGCCCGCCCUAACUACGAUUACAUUAGAGAGCUUAAGCUCCAGACGUUCCUGAGGUCACGAACGCUUACCGGAAGUCAUUAGAGGAACUAUGUACAUACUACGCAUAUCAUGACGUUCGCGUGGUCACGUCGCAGACGCCAGAACGCCACUUUUCAGGUUGAAGAAAUGUUCGCGUAUGGGCAACCCUGGCCAAAAUCCAACUGAUGGUGCAUGCUUUGAGUGGAAGAAGAUUUAAUUGCAAAUUUGUGGAGUGGUUUCUUCCACAAUACUCAAGAGGUCCAGGCACCAAAAAUAUGUCUCAGCUUGUCUUCACUGCUGCAGAAUUUCUUAUUGACCUAUUUUUUUUAAGUUUGGGCCACCCUUGGGUAAAGUUGCCUAAAGGAAGAAGAAAGUAUCAGAUACUUGGCGGGAGAUGGCACUGAGAAGACAAAGACGGUGAUAAAGGGAGCAACGAAGACGAUGACAAGGAUGCCAUCGAUGGACCU